rnacentral:rRNA from 1 species
AUUGAACGCUGGCGGAAUGCUUUACACAUGCAAGUCGGGCGGCAGCGCGGGGGCAACCCUGGCGGCGAGCGGCGAACGGGUGAGUAACACAUCGGAACGUACCCUGUCGUGGGGGAUAACGAAUCGAAAGAUUCGCUAAUACCGCAUACGACCUGAGGGUGAAAGCGGGGGAUCGCAAGACCUCGCGCGAGAGGAGCGGCCGAUGGCGGAUUAGCUAGUUGGUGGGGUAAAGGCCCACCAAGGCGACGAUCCGUAGCGGGUCUGAGAGGACGGCCCGCCACACUGGGACUGAGACACGGCCCAGACUCCUACGGGAGGCAGCAGUGGGGAAUUUUGGACAAUGGGCGCAAGCCUGAUCCAGCCAUGCCGCGUGAGUGAAGAAGGCCUUCGG